AAGUCGUAACAAGGUUUCCGUAGGUGAACCUGCGGAAGGAUCAUUAACUAAUGUAUUGGCACUUUACUGGGAUUUACUUCUCAGUAUUGUUUGCUUCUAUACUGUGAACCUCUGGCGAUGAAGGUCGUAACUGACCUUCGGGAGAGACUCAGGACAUAUAGGCUAUAAUGGGUAGGCCUGUUCUGGGGUUUGAUCGAUGCCAAUCAGGAUUACCUUUCUUCCUUUGGGGAAGGAAGGUGCCUGGUACCCUUUACCAUAUACCAUGAAUUCAGAAUCGAAAGUAUAAUAUAAUAACAA
rnacentral:misc_RNA from 1 species